rnacentral:lncRNA from 1 species
AGCAAAUGUCCCACUCCCACAUCAUUAUUCAUUCUUUAACCAUUUUUCUUAAUCAUCAGUCUCUUUUACUUUCUUCUCUUCCUCUUCACUGGUCUUGGCAUGAUAACCUGGAAGCUUCUCUUUAAUCUUUUCCAGAAUGCCCUUCUUCUCCUCCGGAUGUUCCACCGGAUGCUCCGUCGUAGGCUCCACUGGAUGCUCCGUUACAACCAACGGUGUGCUGGUAACAGCUGGUGAAUCCUCUGGAGUCUUGUCGUGGUGGCCAGGAAGCUUCUCCUU